rnacentral:rRNA from 1 species
UGGGGAAUAUUGGACAAUGGGGGCAACCCUGAUCCAGCAAUGCCGCGUGUGUGAAGAAGGUCUUCGGAUUGUAAAGCACUUUCGACGGGGUACGAUGAUGACGGUACCCGUAGAAGAAGCCCCGGCUAACUUCGUGCCAGCAGCCGCGGUAAUACGAAGGGGGCUAGCGUUGCUCGGAAUGACUGGGCGUAAAGGGCGUGUAGGCGGUUUACACAGUCAGAUGUGAAAUCCCCGGGCUUAACCUGGGAGCUGCAUUUGAUACGUGUAGACUAGAGUGUGAGAGAGGGUUGUGGGAAUUCCCAGUGUAGAGGUGAAAUUCGUAGAUAUUGGGAAGAACACCGGUGGCGAAGGCGGCAACCUGGCUCAUGACUGACGCUGAGGCGCGAAAGCGUGGGGAGCAAACAGGAUUAGAUACCCUGGUAGUCCACGCUGUAAACGAUGUGUGCUAGAUGUUGGGU